rnacentral:rRNA from 1 species
UACGUAGGCAGCAAGCGUUGUUCGGAGUUACUGGGCGUAAAGGGUGCGUAGGUGGCUCUAUAAGUAUGGUGUGAAAUCUCCCGGCUCAACUGGAAGGGUGCGCCGGAUACUGAGGGGCUAGAGUGUGGGAGAGGAAAGUGGAAUUCCAGGUGUAGCGGUGAAAUGCGUAGAUAUCUGGAGGAACACCGGUGGUGUAAACGGCUUUCUGGACCAUUACUGACGCUGAUGCACGAAAGCGUGGGGGAGCGAACAGG